ACAAGAAGGACCGGUGGUGGCUUAGGAGUGGCAGAACGACGGCAAUCAUCGCGGAUGCGCCGGUGACCAAAGGUUGAAGAACGCGUCGAUGCCGGCGAUGCAGAGGCGUAGAGCUUAAGAUGGUGCUCGUAGGAAACAUAGAGGAGGCCGGCGGAGCCGCAGGACAUGGUCUCCGGGCACGGUGUCGACGGAGAGCGCGAGCUUCACGGUGAGGCGGCCAUGGGGGUCAUGGACGGCGGCGG
rnacentral:lncRNA from 1 species